rnacentral:rRNA from 1 species
GACGAACGCUGGCGGCGUGCUUAACACAUGCAAGUCGAACGAUGAAGCCGGAGCUUGCUCUGGUGAAUUAGUGGCGAACGGGUGAGUAACACGUGAGUAACCUGCCCUUGACUCUGGGAUAACUGCGGGAAACUGUAGCUAAUACCGGAUACGACCCUCGGAGGCAUCUCCUGGGGGUGGAAAGAAUUUCGGUCAAGGAUGGACUCGCGGCCUAUCAGCUAGUUGGUGAGGUAAAGGCUAACCAAGGCGACGACGGGUAGCCGGCCUGAGAGGGUGACCGGCCACACUGGGACUGAGACACGGCCCAGACUCCGACGGGAGGUAGCAGUGGGGAAUAUUGCACAAUGGGCGCAAGCCUGAUGCAGCAACGCCGCGUGAGGGAUGACGGCCUUCGGGUUGUAAACCUCUUUUAGCAGGGAAGAAGCGAAAGUGACGGUACCUGCAGAAAAAGCACCGGCUAACUACGUGCCAGCAGCCGCCGUAA